UACGUAGGGUGCAAGCGUUAAUCGGAAUUACUGGGCGUAAAGCGUGCGCAGGCGGCUUUGCAAGACAGAUGUGAAAUCCCCGGGCUUAACCUGGGAACUGCAUUUGUGACUGCAUGGCUGGAGUGCGGCAGAGGGGGAUGGAAUUCCGCGUGUAGCAGUGAAAUGCGUAGAUAUGCGGAGGAACACCGAUGGCGAGGGCAAUCCCCUGGGCCUGCACUGACGCUCAUGCACGAAAGCGUGGGGAGCAAACAGG
rnacentral:rRNA from 1 species